GACGAACGCUGGCGGCGUGCUUAACACAUGCAAGUCGAACGGAAAGGCCCUGCCUUUGUGGGGUGCUCGAGUGGCGAACGGGUGAGUAACACGUGAGUAACCUGCCCUUGACUUUGGGAUAACUUCAGGAAACUGGGGCUAAUACCGGAUAGGAGCUCCUGCUGCAUGGUGGGGGUUGGAAAGUUUCGGCGGUUGGGGAUGGACUCGCGGCUUAUCAGCUUGUUGGUGGGGUAGUGGCUUACCGAGGCUUUGACGGGUAGCCGGCCUGAGAGGGUGACCGGCCACAUUGGGACUGAGAUGCGGCCCAGACUCCUACGGGAGGCAGCAGUGGGGAAUAUUGCACAAUGGGCGGAAGCCUGAUGCAGCAACGCCGCGUGCGGGAUGACGGCCUUCGGGUUGUAAACCGCUUUCGCCUGUGACGAAGCGUGAGUGACGGUAAUGGGUAAAGAAGCACCGGCUAACUACGUG
rnacentral:rRNA from 1 species